UACAGAGGUCCCAAGCGUUGUUCGGAUUCACUGGGCGUAAAGGGUGCGUAGGCGGUCGGGUAAGUCAGACGUGAAAUCCCUCGGCUUAACCUGGGAAUGGCGAUGGAGACUGCAAGGCUAGAGUUUGGCAGAGGGGGGUAGAAUUCCACGUGUAGCAGUGAAAUGCGUAGAGAUGUGGAGGAACACCGAUGGCGAAGGCAGCCCCCUGGGUCAAAACUGACGCUCAUGCACGAAAGCGUGGGGAGCAAACAGG
rnacentral:rRNA from 1 species